rnacentral:lncRNA from 1 species
UGAAAACCUGGGAAAUAGAGAUGGAGGCAACAAGAAGUCAUAACUGUCCAUCCAGAGCACGGCUCAAUGCGAGCAGAUACACUGCUGCUAAAUGUCCUGCAGGCUCACACAGCUGGAAUGGGCCUCCGGUGCUGAUUUUCUGUGCUGGCAAACUAUGUUUUGCAGAGAAAGUAAGUCAGGUUCACAACACUUCUGUGUUUUUUUGUCGUAACGAGCGAGCUAUAACGCUAAAUUAAAGCCGAGUGCCAUAAAACGGAGACAGACACAUUUUCACCUUUGAAAGCUGUCAGUGCAGGCCAAAGAGCAGCGUAAUGAUACAGACAAUACAAACCACAGGGAGCUGCAGACCUACAGCAGCACCAGCCAGCACAGCCCUGCUCUGAAACGUGGGCUUACUGUGAGUACGCUGCAGGACUAACAGCAUGCAUCGGGCUAAGAAUUCAGAACAAGGAAGGCAGCGAAGCCACAACGGGUGAGGUCUGGUUGACUGCUUCAUGGUUAAGAGUGUCCUACCUUCUCUGUUCUCUUUACAUGACAAAGCAGUGAGUAUUCGUCGUCAGGCUGUGACUAAUCAGAAAAUCCACCACCAAACCGCAUUACAAAACACCAACCCAAACCAAAACCAACCAAACGCUAAUAAAUAAUGGUUAUCAGAUGGUCGCUAAUGAAGGUGAAUGACUUCAAACUCUCCCGGGGACACCUUCAGAAGCCAUCCUACCUGGAGGAAGAGAACCUGGGAGAAUGACAGACUUCAUCAAAACCUGAGAGUGGAAGCUGAAGUGGAACUUUAAGGUCUACGCUGCUCCCUGUGAAAGCCAAACACAGUGCUUCAGGAAGAUGGAACUUACCUGCUCUCAUUGUGCUUUUGAUUACUACUGUAAUCCUAUUUAACUGCUGUUGAAAUAAUGCCUUAUUAUCGUUCCGACACCUUUGAAAGACAGAAGCACUCAUUAAGAGGUUUCUCAGAUGCGAGGAGGAAGCAGAAGCGAGCAGAUUGAACCACGUGUUGCUGAAUUUACACCUUAGAGGAAAUAAAGUCAUCAGUACACACACAGCUGAUACAUACACGUUCAUGAAAAGCAACUACACGUUAAAACAAGGAAGGAUGCAAAUAUUUUCUUAUGUCCUUGCACACGAAUUUUAUGUUGCUUUCUAGUUUUCAGAUCACCUGCUAAUACACAACCUGAAGUAAUACAUCUGCCAGCUCUUCCUAUCAACUGUAGGUGGCAGGGGAGGGUCUGCAUGUUCCUAGAGCCCAGUUCUUCCUAACAGCUCUAAGUGUUUGACCCCACCAUCCUCUGCAAUGUAUUUUACCUGCCAACUAAGCUGGAAAUCGUGCUUCUCGUCUUGACACAACCUGGAGGAGAUCAGGAGGCAGAACAGUGAGCUCUGCCAAGAGGGUGCUUUGGUUUUCAUUGCUCCUGCAAACAUCUCUUAAAAAAAAAAAAAACAAUCCCCAAUUCGAUACAUUCAUAAUUGAAGGCACUGAAAAGGCA